rnacentral:rRNA from 1 species
GUGCCAGCAGCCGCGGUAAGACGAACUGUCCUAACGUUGUUCGGAAUCACUGGGCUUAAAGGGCGCGUAGGCGGUCCAACAAGUCAGGGGUGAAAUACUGCAGCUCAACUGUAGAAGUGCCUUUGAUACUGUUGGUCUCGAGGGAGAUAGGGGUGUGCGGAACUUCCAGUGGAGCGGUGAAAUGCGUUGAUAUUGGAAGGAACGCCGGUGGCGAAAGCGGCGCACUGGAUCUCUACUGACGCUGAGGCGCGAAAGCCAGGGGAGCAAACGGGAUUAGAUACCCCCGUAGUCC